UGAAAAUGAAUGAAAACACAGGAAACACACCCAAAUUAAAAACAAUCUUUAUCUCUUUCUUUUUACUCUCUAUCUUGUAAGAUAAAGCAAAUGUUCCUAAGGUUUGCUCUGCCUUCCCAUUCGCAGAUUGAAGGAUCUCAAAGGCUCAUCCUCAUCUCCUAUCCUCGUCUUUUGUUUUCUGCUCAAUACUAUCUUUAAAUCUAGGUAUUUCUUUGGUGUUAUUUCUCUGAACAGAUUUGGAUUUAUUUCUUUGGCUUUUCAAGCAUUCAAGAGUAUAAUGAGAUUAUUUUGGUAGAUCUAUAAGAAUAAUAAAAUGUGAGUACCAUAUCCAUGGUUUCUGUAGAUAUUUACCAUGAAUUCAGUGUCAGAAUCUCAUAGCAAUAUAUGUGUAGUUCUCACUGAAAUGGCAUCUCUAUUUUCGCACUUAGAGUUUGUGUUUUUCAUUUUUCUGUAAAUUAAUUUCUAUUAGGUGGGUAGGGUUAAGUUCCAACUUCCUAUAAUUCAUCAUUAAAUGAUCAUACAAGAACACGUUUGGAUAGCAUAAUCUCUAAUAAUUACACAGAAAUAUUGUUGUUGUUUAUUGUAUUUGCUAUUAUUGCGGCUUGUAUUGGCGUGUCUUGCUCUUGUAAUCAGGUUAACAAUGCAACAUACGGAGUUUUAGUUCUUGUUUCUUCCACACUUAAAUCAUACACAGUUGCAAAUUAGGUUAAAAUUAGGGUUAGUUAACAUUAUCACAAUUCCUAUUUGAUAAUUUGGUGUCGGUUAAGGUCAACUAGAUAGAAUUAAACUACUCAAUCUUUGUGGGACAACAUUUGGACUCAAAAUUUUCACUUUAUUACUUGUCACAAACCAUACAUUUGUGGAGCUUUAAAUAGAAAAAAAAAAUUCGUGAACAAGUUUUUAUGGGACCUAUUCUCACUUUUAUCUGAUUGAAGAAAGAUUCCUUCAAGCUUUGUUGCUCCUCGUUUUUUUCUACAGGAGUGGGAAAAAGUCGAGUGUUGAUUAAUUAGCAUUAGGGGCUGAAUAAAUUUAAUUAAGAACUGGCUGAUUUCUAGUCGAGUGAGUGGCGUGUGUUGCCUACACACUGCCUUGCAUAAUGCUUCAAGUUGGUAUUGCAAGAAAGGGCUCUUAAACUAACUUCAAGUCAUUGCACUAUCCUUUUCUCUGGAUAUUGAAAAGUAGAUUAGGGUAUUUGUGAAUGCUUUGUCCCUCGGUAGUUGGUGCUUAAUGAAUUUUCUACUGUAAAUAGUAAUUCCACAUUUCAUUAGCAUUGGUAUUAUAUUUCUGUGUAAUUUUCUACUGUAAAUAGUAAUUCAUCAUUUUUUUAUCUUUAUUGAAUAGCAUUUAUUCUACCAGUGUUAUGUUUUAAGUUCUGUUUUGUGACCGAAUUUUAUCAUGGGAUAAAUGCAUCACCUUAGUAGUGUCAUUGUAAUAUGUUUUGCUUCUAUUAUGUUAUGUUUUCCCUGCAUUCUUCCUAUCAACGGGUUAAUACUUUUAAGCAAUAUACUAGAUGUUGAAACCAAAACAUUUAACUUGAAGAAUUUUGAGCAAUUGAUGGUAUGUGAAUCGCCUAUGGAAGGUCUUAUAUAUUUCUUGAUAAUUUGAUGUAUAUCCAAUAUAGCUUCAACAUAAGUGGUCACAAAGUUAAGAAUAAGGAAUCAAUGUCAUGGUCGGACGAGAAUGAACACUCUUUUAUCGAAAUUCUUUACGAGCAAGUGAAAUCAAAUGCAUUGCAAUGUUCUGUAUUCACAAAAGACAAAUGGGGCAAGAGCAAUGAAAUCAUGAUAGCUUCGACAAAAAUGGAUUACGGCAUAGAUAGAUCAAAGGGAAAGUGGAACUGUUUAGGUAAGAUUCAUUGCAUAUUCUCUGAACUUUUGGGACAUACAGGUGUUACAUGAGAUCUAAAUACCAACAAAGUUAAUGCUGCAGAGGAAGUCUAGCAACACUUUUAUACAGUACAUAUAUUUAUUAAAGAAUAUUUUCGUCAUUAGUUUUUAUCUUAUCAAUUUUACAAUUUUUUGUUGAACAAUAUGAUAAGGUGGCUUCUUUUUUCAAUGGUAGAUAAACAAAUCGGAUUACAAGAUGUUCAAAAGGAAAGGAUAUAAGCACUACCACACUCUUUGGAAGAUAUUUAGCAAGACCACAGCUACUGGAGGAUUAGGCAAUGCCUCCACUCAACUUCCAAACACAUCAGAGAAAGAAAGACAAUUAGAAGAUAAUUUUUUGAACAGGGGGUACAUGUACGUUCGGAAAAUGAUGAUGAAUUUGAUGAGGUUUUAAAUACUCGUUGACGUGAUGAAAUUGGUACAUUGGAUGAACAUCGACGGAGGAAACCUAAGAUCAGUAAAUGAGGUUUAUAUGAAAGCAAUAAAGACUUUUAAGGAUCCCGAUUUUAGGGUGCCAUUUGUGAAUAUGCCAGAAGCAAGAAAAAGACCUAUCUUGGAACUAUUUUGACGUGACUGUUGUUUUCAUUUCUCUAGUGUUGUGUUGUUUUAAUUNAUGAUAAUGUGAG
rnacentral:lncRNA from 1 species